rnacentral:rRNA from 1 species
CGUAGGGAAACCGAGUCUUAACUGGGCGAAUGAGUUGCAGGGUAUAGACCCGAAACCCGGUGAUCUAUCCAUGGGCAGGUUGAAGGUUGGGUAACACUAACUGGAGGACCGAACCGACUAAUGUUGAAAAAUUAGCGGAUGACUUGUGGAUGGGGGUGAAAGGCCAAUCAAACCGGGAGAUAGCUGGUUCUCCCCGAAAGCUAUUUAGGUAGCGCCUCGUGAACUCAUCUUCGGGGGUAGAGCACUGUUUCGACUAGGGGGUCAUCCCGACUUACCAACUCGAUGCAAACUGCGAAUACCGAAGAAUGUUAUCACGGGAGACACACGGCGGGUGCUAACGUCCGUCGUGAAGAGGGAAACAACCCAGACCGCCAGCUAAGGUCCCAAAGUCAUGGUUAAGUGGGAAACGAAGUGGGAAGGCUCAGACAGCCAGGAUGUUGGCUUAGAAGCAGCCAUCAUUUAAAGAAAGCGUAAUAGCUCACUGGUCGAGUCGGCCCGCGCGGAAGAUGUAACGGGGCUAAACCAUGCACCGAAGCUGCGGCAGCGACACAAAGUGU